ACGCCUACACAUGCAAGUCGAACGAAGUAGCAAUACUUAGUGGCAGACGGGUGAGUAACAUGUAGGUAUCUGCCCUUUGGCCUGGAAUAACACGAGGAAACUUGUGCUAAUACCGAAUAAGCCUUUACAGGGAAAGUUUUAACGCCGAAAGAUGAGCCCGCACUUGAUUAGCUAGUUGGUAAGGUAAAAGCUUACCAAGGCAACGAUCAAUAGCUGUUCUUAGAGGAAGACCAGCCACAUUGGGACUGAGACACGGCCCAGACUCCUACGGGAGGCAGCAGUGGGGAAUCUUGCACAAUGGGGGAAACCCUGAUGCAGCGAUGCCGCGUGAGUGAAGAAGGCCCUUGGGUUGUAAAACUCUUUCGUCGGGGAAGAAA
rnacentral:rRNA from 1 species